AGCAGUGGGGAAUAUUGCACAAUGGGCGCAAGCCUGAUGCAGCGACGCCGCGUGAGGGAUGACGGCCUUCGGGUUGUAAACCUCUUUCAGCAGGGAAGAAGCCACAAGUGACGGUACCUGCAGAAGAAGCGCCGGCUAACUACGUGCCAGCAGCCGCGGUAAUACGUAGGGCGCAAGCGUUGUCCGGAAUUAUUGGGCGUAAAGAGCUCGUAGGCGGUUUGUCGCGUCUGCUGUGAAAGCCCGGGGCUCAACCCCGGGUCUGCAGUGGGUACGGGCAGACUAGAGUGCAGUAGGGGAGACUGGAAUUCCUGGUGUAGCGGUGAAAUGCGCAGAUAUCAGGAGGAACACCGAUGGCGAAGGCAGGUCUCUGGGCUGUUACUGACGCUGAGGAGCGAAAGCAUGGGGAGCGAACAGGAUUAGAUACCCUGGUAGUCCAUGCCGUAAACGUUGGGCACUAGGUGUGGGGGACAUUCCACGUUCUCCGCGCCGUAGCUAACGCAUUAAGUGCCCCGCCUGGGGAGUACGGCCGCAAGGCUAAAACUCAAAGGAAUUGACGGGGGCCCGCACAAGCGGCGGAGCAUGCGGAUUAAUUCGAUGCAACGCGAAGAACCUUACCAAGGCUUGACAUUCACCGGACCGCCUCAGAGAUGGGGUUUCCCUUCGGGGUCGGUGGACAGGUGGUGCAUGGUUGUCGUCAGCUCGUGUCGUGAGAUGUUGGGUUAAGUCCCGCAACGAGCGCAACCCUCGUUCUAUGUUGCCAGCACGUGAUGGUGGGGACUCAUAGGAGACUGCCGGGGUCAACUCGGAGGAAGGUGGGGAUGACGUCAAAUCAUCAUGCCCCUUAUGUCUUGGGCUUCACGCAUGCUACAAUGGCCGGUACAAAGGGUUGCGAUACUGUGAGGUGGAGCUAAUCCCAAAAAGCCGGUCUCAGUUCGGAUUGAGGUCUGCAACUCGACCUCAUGAAGUCGGAGUCGCUAGUAAUCGCAGAUCAGCAACGCUGCGGUGAAUACGUUCCCGGGCCUUGUACACACCGCCCGUCAAGUCACGAAAGUUGGUAACACCCGAAGCCGGUG
rnacentral:rRNA from 1 species